GAUUACAUCAGCAGGUUGACCUCUAUCAUGCAUCUCAUCAUGAAGCUCCCAAGCAUGAUAGAUUCUCCCUAAUUUGCACAAACCGUCAAUAAGAGUAUUGUAAGUUAGUGUAUUAAGAAUAAUCUUCUUGCUUUGCAUUUCUUUGAAGAGAUUCAUGGCUUCAUCAAUCAUUUCAAUCUUACAGAGCCCAUUAAUAAGAGAAUUGUAAGUUACCGUACUAGGAAUAACCUUCUUGCUUUGCAUUUCUUUGAAGAAAUUUAUGGCUUCAUCCAUCAUUCCAAUCUUACACAGCCCAUUAAUCAUGACAUUAUAGCUAAGAACGUCGGGCAUCACUCUUCUUUGGGCCAUAGUGUUGAAUAUAACUUUGGCCUUGUUCACUUGAUUAACUACACAAUACCCAUCCAUUAAAGCAUUAUAAGUAACAACAUCUGGUUUUACACCUUCUGCUAUCAUCAUAGCCAACACAUUGAACGCUUGUUUCACCUUUCCUUCCUUGCAAUAUGCACUAACCAAUAUAUUAAAAGUAUAAUCAUUUGGUUUGUUGUUUCUCAAUAUCAUUUCCUGAAACAAACCAUUUGCUUCUUUCAAUCGACCAUCAAUACAAAAUCCAUACAAUAGAGAAUUGAAAGUGACAACAUUAGGAGAAAUUUUCUUUUCGGUCAUUUCAAAAUAUAAAUCAUAAGCAUUGAUUAAAAGUUUAUCUUUACACAAACUACCAAUAAUAGAGUACCAACUUUGAGCUGAAAAACAAGAAAGACAAGUGCUAUACCCAAGCUAAGUUGCACCCCUCCCAGCUAAUAAUAGGCAACAAUGCAGCUUCCACCGCAAAUUUGAUAGCAAUACUGGAACUCCCCUNNNNNNNNNNNNNNNNNNNNNNNNNGGGCAAUCCAGUCCUGAAAAUAGUACACAAAAGUAUAUCAAACAUAGCCUAAUUUUAGAUAUACACACCUCAAUCCAGAAUCUGACCAAACCGAGACCAAAUUCAUAUGUCCACAAUUCCAAGGCAAGCUCUUGUAUUCCAAAACCAUUGAUUGAUACCAUAGUCUAUGAAGUUUGCUUUAAACCUUAAUCUUAUAUUCAGCAUCCCCUUUUCGGCCUCUUUUAAUGUGUCUGAGCUGUCUUCUUUAGUGCAUGUUUGGAUUCAUAGCGAGUCACAUUGAUUUUGCAAAAACUAUAUUUUGGAGUUUCAACAAAAUCAUGGUGCCACCGUGAAUUUGUUAAAGUCACUGUCCAUCCAAACAUACAUUAAGUCUCUUUUGAAGCAGGUCCAAUCUCUUCGAUUAUCUUCCAGCUACAUAUUAUGACUCCAUUAGUUCACAACAACCUUGUCCUUAAGGUUGUGAUCAGGAAAAGCCUAAAAAAAUCUGCUAUAGCUACUAUAUCCAUUAUGAAUAACAUAAAACCAGAACGUAACAACUAAAGAAAACAUAUAAAGCAAAGUAUGAUUGUAAUUAUUCUACAAUGAAAUGAGAUUUUGAAUAGUGGUGCCACAUUAUUUUUGUGUAAACGUCCGACUUAAAAUUAUUAUUUGUCGUAAUUGUUUAAAUAACUAAUAAUCAAUAGAACAUACCUUUUGCAUUUCUGAGUAACAAAUCACUAGGAAGCAAAUUGCUCAACAUGAAUGGCAGUUGAUGUACAUCCCAAAUUUACACAUGCGUCCUCAAAUUGCUUUAAGAAUUAAAGCAGCAAAAAGGUAAUUAAUUAUUGAAGUAGCCAGAGAGAAGAACUUAGAUGGCAAAUUUCCACAAUACAAAUAUGAAGAAUCACAACGGAACCAUAUUUUAUCGCUGUCUUCAACUAUGAUACCAGUGGAUUUUUCCCCAUGACAGCGACACACCAAUUUGUACCUAACUCAAGAACAACAAUCUGUAUAAGUCUAAAACAGGACAAUAUAUCGAACGACAAGAUUACUUCCAAUACACUUUUUUAAAUGGAUUAUAACGGGCACUCUAGCCCAAUUACAAACCGAGAUCAAAGACAAAGCAAACAACUUAAACUAUAACAUGAGGAGUACAAAAAUGUCCUAGCCACGAAUAGCGGAGAUUGCUUCCAAUACAUGUUACAAGACAAAAUUUCAAAUGCUCGAACAUGAACCAGCUGAAAACAUAAUAUGAAACCAAAUAGUCCAUAUGCUUUACUAGAAUCUAACAACUAAAAAGGGAAUAGGAAUAUGAAAAUAUAUGUGACAACAAGAGGAGACCUUAAGCAUAGUCAGCAACCCUUUUUGGGACUCUUCUAAUGUGUCUGAACUGUCUUUCUUUGGUCUCUUUUGAAGCAGGCUUAAUCUCUUUGAGUAUUUCCUAGUUACGGAUCAUGACUACAUCCGUCCACAACAACAUUGUCCUUAAGGUUAGGACUGUUGAAAGAAAAACAUAGAAGUUGAAUCGAACUGCAAAACUGAAUCAAACUGCACUGCAAAUAACCGAAUUGUUUUUUUGAGUUUACGAAACAGAACUGGUGUUUCAAAAUAGUUCAGUUUCAUUAAAAAAAAAAUAAGUUUCCAGAAGUGAAAAAGAAUUAAGUUUCAUUAAAAAAUUCAGUGGGAAAUAGGAAGUGAAAGAAAUACCUGCAACUAGUACUGCAAGUGAGAGGUAGAAUGGCAGGAAGUGAAAAAGAAUUAAUUAGUAACAAAUGCUAGUUUCCAGAAGGUAGGAUAGGAAUGACUCGGGUUAAAAAGUUUACGAAUAGUUUGGUUCAAUUCAGCAUAAUAUAAAGCAAUUUAAUUCAUAAACUUUAGAAACAGUUCGGUUCAAAACAUUAGAACCCACUGAAUUGAACUCAAACAGUUCGGUUCAAAAUGAAACACAAACAAUUCAUUCGGUUUUACCAACAAUUUUCCAGCAAUCAUCUCGGCAGCUUGAUCAUGGAAUCCCACUGUUUAAAGUGUGAGCUUUGAUACGUGAAAAAUAGUAAUCGCCACUAAGAAUCUGUGACUCGAGUAACAUUCAUUAAUAUAGAAACUGCAGCAUGGUAAUGACUAAUGAGAAUACUCUUUCAAUAAUUGAUAACCAAGGAUCACGGUAAAUAUAAAUCAUGGCAGCAACAUAAGGUUCUUGGGAUACAUACAAGUUCUCCACAUCUCUAAAAUAUGGACCAAAAUUCCAUGAAUUAAGUUAAUCUAAUAUAGUACUCCCUCUAGUCCUAUAUAUAAGAAAAUGUUGACUUUUUAGAUACAUUGUAAAAUUGAUGUAUCUAGACUAUAAUAUUGUCUAGAUACGUUGAUUUUACAAUGAAUCUAAUAAGCAAACAUUUUCUUAUAUAUAGGACCGGAGGGAGUAAUAUUUAUAGGGAAAAAUUCCAAAAUUCCAUGAAAAAAUAAAUUAUUAUUAUAGGAUAAAAAACAUAAUUCCAUCAAAAGUAACAACAUUUAUUGAUAUUUUUAGUAUGUGUAAAAAACCACAAAAAGAUCGAAGCGAGUAAUAACUUGUACCUGACUCAAUAACAACAAUUUGUAUCAGUCUGAAACAAGACAAUGAAUCACAUAGCAAGAUUACUCCCAAUACAUAUUUUUUAAACAACUAAGAGAGAUAUUUCAUAAAGAAUAGACUAAAGGGUACUCUAAUCCAAAGGACAAACCAAAAAGAAUUAAACUAUCUAGUCAACUGAUCUUAAAAAACACUUUCUAAACACAACCCCUGUGCAUCAUUUAAGCCCUCUUUUAUCUAGCCAUUUACAUUCUAUCGAACCAUUUACAGCCUAAAUAAACUAUGUGAAACUGUUUAAAUACAACCUUUUUUGUUGUUGAUAAAUAGCCUAUUUUAUUGAAUUCAACUAGGUACACCAAAUUCAACAGACUACAAAAUUUGUCAAGACACCAAGAAGUAUUAUAGCGAACAACAUCUUUCCAUCCAAUACCAAUAGCAGCAACACGCCAGAUCAAAAACAAGACACUCCCUACUUUGAACCCAAUACCAAAAUCUCAGUGAAGAAUUAUGACAGCAGACCAGUGGCCAAUAUCUUAACCCUUCUUUAGUUUCUAGACAGCUAGAUUGUCCAUAUUACAAAAAUUCAUAAAAUCUGUUUUGCAUCAAGGCAUUCCAAAAGCUGAUAAGUUACAAUAAAUAUCUAACCAAAAUACCAAAUAAUAAACAUUAGACCAUUAUCAUCAAAAUUCAAAGUAGCCUAACUAGUACUUCCCUUACAACAGACCUUUAGCAAUCAUUUCACGGAGAAGUUUCUUUGCUUUAUCAUUCUCAUCAUUUUCAAAGAGAGCACGGAUAAUUGUUUCAUAAGUUACAGCAUCAAGAAUGCAACCAUUGUCUUUCAUUUUCGACACCACGGCCAUAGCUUCAUCAAACAAUCCCUCUAAACAAAGACCAUUGAUCAUAAUAUUAUAUGUCCAGACUGUUACCUUAUAGCCUUUAAUCAAAAGAUCUUGAAAAAUCACUUGUGCGUCCUUAAGUCUUCCUUCUUUGCAUAGUCCAUCAAUAAGUAUAUUGUAUGUGUGCAUAUUUGGUUGAAUGCCUUGGUCUUUAAUUUUCUUGACUAAUGUAAUUGCCUGGUCGACAUGAUGGUUUUUACAUAAAGCGUGCAAUAAAGAAUUGUAAGUGAUUAUAUUGGCAGGUUGACCUCUAUCGUGCAUCUCUUCAAGAAGCUCCCAAGCAUGAGAGAUUCUCCCUGAUUUGCACAAACCAUCAAUAAGAGAAUUGUAACCUACUGUAUCAGGUGUAAUCUUCUUGCUUUGCAUUUCUUCAAAGAAAUUCAUGGCUUCGUCCACCAUUCUGAUCUUGCAUAAUCCAUUAAUUAUGAUAUUGUAGCUCCAAACAUUAGGAGUCACUUCCUUAUCAGCCAUAGUGUUGAAUAUAUCUAAGGCUUUGUUCACUUGAUUAACUAAGCAAUACCCAUCCAUUAAAGCAUUAUAAGUAAAAACAUUUGGUUUUAUACCUUCUUUCAUCAUCAUAGCCAACACAUUGAUAGCUUGUUCCACAUUUCCUUCCUUGCAAAAUGCAUCAACCAAUAUACUAAAAGUAUAUACAUCUGGGGUGAUGUUUUUUAAUACCAUUUCAUCAAAUAAAGAAAAUGCUUCUUUCAAUUGACCAACAAUACAAAAUCCGUAGAUUAGAGCAUUGAAAGUGAAAACAUUAGGAGAAAUUCCCUUUGCGGUCAUUUCAGAAUAUAACUCGUAAGCCUCGGUUACAAGUUUAUCUUUACAUAAACUUUCAAUGACUGUGUUAUACAUUAUCACAUCAGUGUUGACCAAUUUCCCUUCAAUUUUUCUCAACAUUUGCAGGGCGGCUCUAGUUUCCCCCAUUUUACACAAGCCAUUAAUCAAAGUCCCAUAACUAACAUGAUCCAAUUGAAAUCCUUUUGCCAGCACAUGGUCAUGAAAAUGCAGUGCUUUUUUAACAUCGCCACUAAGACAUAGACCUUUCAUGAGAGUAGUUAAGGUUAUGGUAUCUGGUUGAUAACCCAACUUGAGAAUCUUUGCCAAUACAGAAAAGGAAAAAGUAAUUUGACCAUUUAGGUGACAAUAACAAUUGAUCAAUAUAGUCAAAGUAAAUAAGUCAGGGGUAAUCCCCUUGAAUUCCAUUUGACGGUAAAGGGAUAUGGCAGUGGUGUAAUGCUUACUCUUGACAAGAGAACUUAAAAUCUUGGUAAAUUGAUAGAUGGAUGGAGUAUGGGGCAUUUGGAGCAUACGAUGAAAUGAGGAAACAGCAUUAUCAACAUGAACAUCAUUGUGAAUGAAUCGAUUGACAGAAUAAGAAUAUG
rnacentral:lncRNA from 1 species